UACAGAGGGGGCAAGCGUUGUUCGGAAUCACUGGGCGUAAAGCGCACGUAGGCGGACUCUUAAGUCGGUGGUGAAAUCCUGGAGCUCAACUCCAGAACUGCCUUCGAUACUGAGAGUCUCGAGUCCGAGAGAGGUGAGUGGAACUGCGAGUGUAGAGGUGAAAUUCGUAGAUAUUCGCAAGAACACCAGUGGCGAAGGCGGCUCACUGGCUCGGUACUGACGCUGAGGUGGCG
rnacentral:rRNA from 1 species